rnacentral:misc_RNA from 1 species
GAUGAAGAACGCAGCGAAAUGCGAUAAGUAGUGUGAAUUGCAGAAUUCAGUGAAUCAUCGAAUCUUUGAACGCACAUUGCGCCCCUUGGUAUUCCAUGGGGCAUGCCUGUUCGAGCGUCAUCUACACCCUCAAGCUCUGCUUGGUGUUGGGCGUCUGUCCCGCCUUUGCGCGUGGACUCGCCCCAAAUUCAUUGGCAGCGGUCCUUGCCUCCUCUCGCGCAGCACAUUCGCGCUUCUCGAGGUGCGCGGGCCGCGUCCACGAAGCAACUAUUACCGUCUUUGACCUCGGAUCAGGUAGGGAUACCCGCUGAACUUAAGCAUAUCAAUAAGCGGAGGA